AAUCUUCCACAAUGGACGAAAGCCUGAUGGAGCAACGCCGCGUGAGCGAAGAAGGUUUUCGGAUCGUAAAGCUCUGUUGUGAGGGAAGAACAAGUACAGGAGUAACUGUCUGUACCUUGACGGUACCUCAGUAGAAAGCCACGGCUCACUACGUGCCAGCAGCCGCGGUAAUACGUCGGUGGCAAGCGUUGUCCGGAAUUAUUGGGCGUAAAGCGCGCGCAGGCGGCCUUUUUAGUCUGAUGUGAAAGCCCACGGCUUAACCGUGGAAGGUCAUUGGAAACUGGGAGACUUGAGUACAGAAGAGGAAAGCGGAAUUCCACGUGUAGCGGUGAAAUGCGUAGAGAUGUGGAGGAACACCAGUGGCGAAGGCGGCUUUCUGGUCUGUAACUGACGCUGAGGCGCGAAAGCGUGGGGAGCAAACA
rnacentral:rRNA from 1 species